rnacentral:snRNA from 1 species
GUGCUCACUUUGACAGCACUUAUACUAAAAUUGGGACCAUACAGAGAAGAUUAGCAUGGCCUCUGCACAAGGAUAACAUGCAAAUUUGUGAAACAUUUGUAUGGAAU